rnacentral:rRNA from 1 species
AUUGAACGCUGGCGGCAUGCCUUACACAUGCAAGUCGAACGGCAGCACGGGUGCUUGCACCUGGUGGCGAGCGGCGAACGGGUGAGUAAUACAUCGGAACAUGUCCUGUAGUGGGGGAUAGCCCGGCGAAAGCCGGAUUAAUACCGCAUACGAUCUACGGAUGAAAGCGGGGGACCUUCGGGCCUCGCGCUAUAGGGUUGGCCGAUGGCUGAUUAGCUAGUUGGUGGGGUAAAGGCCUACCAAGGCGACGAUCAGUAGCUGGUCUGAGAGGACGACCAGCCACACUGGGACUGAGACACGGCCCAGACGCCUACGGGAGGCAGCAGUGGGGAAUUUUGGACAAUGGGCGAAAGCCUGAUUCAGCAAUGCCGCGUGUGUGAAGAAGGCCUUCGGGUUGUAAAGCACUUUUGUCCGGAAAGAAAUCCUUGGCCCUAAUACGGUCGGGGGAUGACGGUACCGGAAGAAUAAGCACCGGCUAACUACGUG